AGUGAACGCUGGCGGUAGGCCUAACACAUGCAAGUCGAACGGCAGCACAGGAGAGCUUGCUCUCUAGGUGGCGAGUGGCGGACGGGUGAGGAAUACAUCGGAAUCUGCCCAGUCGUGGGGGAUAACGUAGGGAAACUUACGCUAAUACCGCAUACGACCUUCGGGUGAAAGAGGGGGAUCGCAAGACCUCUCUCGAUUGGAUGAGCCGAUGUCGGAUUAGCUAGUUAGCGGGGUAAUGGCCCACCAAGGCGACGAUCCGUAGCUGGUCUGAGAGGAUGAUCAGCCACACUGGAACUGAGACACGGUCCAGACUCCUACGGGAGGCAGCAGUGGGGAAUAUUGGACAAUGGGCGCAAGCCUGAUCCAGCCAUACCGCGUGGGUGAAGAAGGCCUUCGGGUUGUAAAGCCCUUUUGUUGGGAAAGAAAUCUUUCAGGCUAAUACCCUGGGAGGAUGACGGUACCCAAAGAAUAAGCACCGGCUAACUUCGUG
rnacentral:rRNA from 1 species